UGGGGAAUUUUUGGACAAUGGGCGAAAGCCUGAUCCAGCAAUGCCGCGUGUGUGAAGAAGGCCUUCGGGUUGUAAAGCACUUUUGUCCGGAAAGAAAUCCUUGGCUCUAAUACAGUCGGGGGAUGACGGUACCGGAAGAAUAAGCACCGGCUAACUACGUGCCAGCAGCCGCGGUAAUACGUAGGGUGCAAGCGUUAAUCGGAAUUACUGGGCGUAAAGCGUGCGCAGGCGGUUUGCUAAGACCGAUGUGAAAUCCCCGGGCUCAACCUGGGAACUGCAUUGGUGACUGGCAGGCUAGAGUAUGGCAGAGGGGGGUAGAAUUCCACGUGUAGCAGUGAAAUGCGUAGAGAUGUGGAGGAAUACCGAUGGCGAAGGCAGCCCCCUGGGCCAAUACUGACGCUCAUGCACGAAAAGCGUGGGGAGCAAACAGGAUUAGAUACCCUGGUAGUCCACGCCCUAAACGAUGUCAACUAGUUGUUGGGGAUUCAUUUCCUAGUAACGUAGCUAACGCGUGAAGUUGACCGCCUGGGGAGUACGGUCGCAAGAUUAAAACUUAAAGGAAUUGACGGGGUCAUAGCUGUUUCCU
rnacentral:rRNA from 1 species